rnacentral:rRNA from 1 species
UACGGAGGUCCCAAGCGUUGUUCGGAAUUACUGGGCGUAAAGGGAGCGCAGGCGGAUAGGUCAGUCUAAAGUGGAAUCCCGGGGCUCAACCUCGGAACUGCUUCGGAUACUGCCUGUCUUGAGUUCGUGAGAGGAAAGCGGAAUUCAGGGUGUAGCGGUGAAAUGCUUAGAUAUCCUGAGGAACACCAAUGGCGAAGGCAGCUUUCUGGCGCGAUACUGACGCUGAGGCUCGAAAGCGUGGGGAGCGAACGGG